GGGGAGGUGUGUCUGAGUCCUCCGUGCUCAGUUGGGUCUCGUCCGUGGUCGCGGGAGGAACUCUUUGCCCCUCGCCCACCCUCGUCCACCCACUCGCUCGUCGCACGUACUACCAGGCGCCGCUUCGAGCCUCCCGCGCUGGACGGAGUUUUAAAAGUUUAAGUAAAAAUGUUCAAGUACACGGAAAAUGAACCGAAGUCAGAAAGUUAACGCAGUGUGUUUCAAUUAGACGACAAUAAUUGAACGUGUGUGUGCGUGCGUGUGUGUGUCCUUUCAUUACUUAACUGUGCUGGAAUAUAUUAAAAAAAAAUCUCCCUUUAGCCUCUGGAAGGUGGUGAUCUUCUCUCGCUCGCAUCUCUGACCUUUUGCAUGAGCGGGAGAGUUAGUGAGUGACAGACAAGAGAAGAGAAGAGAAGAGAAGAGAAGAGGAGAGAGAGAGAUAGAGAGAGAGCGAAUUUAUCUCCAAGCGGACUUACGGAGAGGAGAGAUGAGCGAGUUUUUGGGAACUUUUUAACUAGUGCCUCUCGCUCCGCCACUCAAGAAAAUUUUGGGACAUCGAACUCACCAGAAAAUAUCAAGACUCUCCCUUGUCCGAGACGCGUGGCCCGGAGCACCACACACCACCUCAUCAUCGUCUAGAAGGCUGCGUGUGGCGUGGACGGCGCGGGUGGCAGGGCCCAGGGGAGAGGAACCAGCGGUAACUUGGCCCAUUAGCGCCGCCCUGAAGAAGGAGAUAGCGCCAGCCUCUGGGGAGCGCCGCCACCCUCUCAAGAGCUUCUUCUGCUGAGCCGCCAGUUUCCCUGUCAUCGUUUUUUAGAGAAGCGACAAAAGAAAGCUAAGCAAAAGAAAACAUUGCAUUCUUCCUCUUCCACCGGAGUCGUCUUUCUUGUGGUCUUAAGAAUGCAGAAGCAGCUCCUCUUCAGACUUUGUCCCCCGCAUUGCGUCCUCACCAGGAAUUGAAGGACAUCCGAACAGUGAACUGAAGGAAAAUAUCAAGGCACUAUUUUCUAUUGACUGCCCCGCUGUGAAUAUUAAGAGCGGGCCAGCCAGCACAGGUCCUGCCAGCCAGCCAGGCCUUGGUGUGGUAAGAGUAAUUGCCCCGUCAGAAGCACCGCGCCCCGCACUCCCAGGCCUGAACUCUCGCCUCUAAUUGACUGCCGCUACUCCUCGGAAGUGUAAAAGCAAAUUCGUUCAUUAAAGAUGCACGGGAAACAUCCGGUCGAGCGAGGAAUAUAGUCCUCACUAAUUAAGGUUCAUCAGAUCACAGGCCUCUCAAAAGCCGCCUCAUUGAUCGCCACGCUGCGCCUUCCUCCUCCCUCACCCUCCUCUUGGAAGGACUGCCCCCGCAGGCCGCUCCCAGUAAUUCAGCUCCCAUUGGUCAAUCAAAGUGAAAGAAAAAAAGAGGUGUCCUUUGUAUGGACGGCACGUGAAGGCCACAGGGAUCUGGAGAAACGCAGCGUGAUUGGCCAGCGGGAGUGAGGGUGCUACGUGUGUGGGAGCGGUAUUAGACGCGGCCCACACCUUGCUCCCGCCUUGCCACGACUGUGACGCGAGGUGACUAAAGUACUAAUUACAGCCCCUGGAAUAAGAAAGAGAGCAAGGAGAAAUAGGAAGCGGAAGAGGGGGUAUUAAAAAAUGAUACUGCAAUUAGCGUGAAGCAUCCGGGGGUAAAAUCCUCGAAAAAAGAAUGUAGUGUGAAAGUUGCGAGUGUUUGCCUUCUGGUCGUUCGCGUGCACGAGGACACGGAGGAGGUGGAGAGACGUGGAGAAGGAGGGGAAGGAGGAGGAGGAGGAGGUGGCAGUGGUGUUGGCGGAGGCGAGGAAGAGGCAGCCAACCUUCCACCCUCCACCGACCAAGGCUGUUCAGGAAAAGUCCAAGGAAAUUCUUGCGAAAAAUUGCUCGUUUCUCGUGUGUGGGCUGCCAGUGGUGCGUUGUCCUUUUUUCUCUUUCUUUUUUACGUAAAUGUUUUUGCUCUUAUAUGUGGAGGAGAGCAACUGAACCUGAGCAACAAACGAGUGGCAGUGACUAGUCUUGAAUAACAAACACUGUGACAUACGAUAGACGUGCAUGGAAACUUGAAAUUAUAGAAGGAAAAGAGAGAAAAUAAAAGAUUUGUUAUUGGAGACAGAAACAAAAAAGGAAAAAGCAGCGAAACUGAUGUAAGUAAACCCUCACACGAAAGGACACUUAAAACUCGAUUCUGGUGACGUUGAAAGGCAUACUCUGUGACAAGUGCCUGAGUGCGUGUACGUGUGUGUGUGGGUACGGGUGUAGGAAGUGUGGGCGUAUAAUUGUGCGCCAGGUGUCAUUGGGCAGGGGAGUCUAUGAGGAAUCAAUUUGUAACUCGUAAGGAACCACCACUCGCUCUUCGCUAUUGGCACGUCGCUCGGUCCUGGCUCGGGGUGUCGGCAAUAUAUCGCCCCGCUGUGACUGUCUGGCACCCGAGCCUUGACGCUAUCUGGAAAGGACACAAAUUGGACAUCAAUACGGCUCACUUCGAGACGUUACCGUUACCGCCACGACCACCACCACCAUCGCCACGACUACCACCGCCACCACCUCACCAACACCUCGCCAGAAAGGUUACAGUCACCGUUCCCAUUACCUCCCGUGUAAUUUGCGUGUUACGGCUUUGGGGAAUCAGAGGAUAUUAAUUGCCUCGUUUACGACACGCACACAAAUAGCUAGCGGACUCAAGCAAUUAAAUCAGCCAUCGGGCACGCUCCUCUCCCCGCCAGUGAAUAAAUAACAGAUAACGCUUGCCGAGAUAUGGAUGACGGACCCGUACGCCUCCCUCAGACACGGUGCCAUUCUUUCGCUAAGAAAACAAAAAAACGAGUGUGAGCUGCGCCGCUUAAUGAAAGAGGACGUGUAACAGAUAUACACAAGAAACAACUUUAUUAAUUGCGUUCAAGACAGUGUGUGGGUGUGUCCUAUACUGGUGUGUUUAUACCUGUGCAUUGUUAAGUGUUCAUUGACGCCGCCCACAAUGCUGCCCACGCCCGCUGCACGCCUCCUCGCCUUCCUUGCCUGCUGCCUGGGCGUCUCCCUCACACCCGCAGCGGCUUAUCGUAAAGGUGUGAGGCAACGCGUGGAGGCCGUGGCGGGGCGGGAGGCGGUGCUGCCCUGCGUUGUGGGGAACAUCGAGGCUUCAGACAUGGUAUACGUGGUGUUGUGGUACAGGAACGGCAACAAGGAGCCCAUCUACAGUUACGACAACCGGCCGGGGCGCCUCCAGCCUUCCGAGGAGCGCCACCUUGUCAAGAGUCCUCCGCUACAGGGCCGCGUUAACUUCCGGCCGGGCCACCAGCCGGCGCUGCACAUCAAGCCUGUGAGGAGCACUGACCAGGCCAACUAUACUUGUAGGGUGGACUUCCGGAUAGCUACGUCGCGGCGCACAUACCUCAGCCUUCACGUGGUGGUGCCGCCAGAUGCGCCCAUUCUGAAGGUCGGAGGGCAGAGAGCGACAGACGGUGUGCUGGGGCCUCUGCAAGAGGGUACUUCGCUGGAGAUCACCUGCAGUGUGGCCGGCGGCGUCCCUCCUCCCAAUGUCGUCUGGGAGCGUGAUGGGGAGGUUUUGGACUCAACAGCAGAGUCUCGGUCCCCUGCGCUCACCAUCAACCGGCUGAGCAUCCUGCAGCUCACCCGGGACUACCACAACGCCAAGCUCACCUGCGUCGCCUACAACAACAACGUCACUGCCCCCGCCAGAGCCUCCGUCACCGUGAAAAUGAACCUACGCCCGCUGGUGACGAGGAUAGAGGCCCCGCCCAAGUGGCUGAGGGUGGGGCGGGAAUUCGAGAUAGCCUGCGUGGUGGCGGGAAGCAGACCACACCCCAACGUGACAUGGACGAUUGGAACUGUCACCAGCCUCACGCCGCUCAUCGCUGAGACGGAGCACGGGGUGAAUAUGAGCACCUCCCGCGUCAAGGUGGUCGCUUCCCGACGCCACCACGGACAGCGCCUCACCUGCACCUCCGUCAACCCGCUGUUCCCUCUCGCCAGACUCACCGACUCCACACUUCUCAAUGUUACUUACCCGCCCGUGGCCACGAUAGAGCUGGGUCGCGGUGUUUCCUCAGUAGUGAAGGAGGGAGAGGAUGUUUACUUCGACUGCAACGUGGAUUCCAACCCGCCUACCUACAAGAUCUCGUGGUUCAGGAGAAGUCAGGCCAUCCUGCACCACCCUGCUGAAGGCGUCCUGCUCAGCGGCAACAGCCUGGCUCUGCGCCGCAUCACCAGGCACCAGGCGGGACCUUACACCUGCGCCGCCUCCAAUGUCGAGGGGGACGCCCACAGCCCGCCUCUCACCCUCCACGUGAAUUACGCCCCGGUGUGUGCGGUGGGCGGGUCGGGGCGCGUGCUGGCUACAGGACUUGGCCAGCAGGUGAACGUCACAUGUCGGGUGGAGGCGGCCCCGCGUUCCGUUAGGUACUCAUGGGUGUUCAACAACUCUCUUGUGUCCCAUCGUCUGCCCGGCGACCAGAUCUUCGUCACGUCAGACGGAGGCAGUGUCGUCCAUUUUGUGGCCCGCACUCACCAGGACUACGGGACGCUUCAGUGCUGGGCGCAGAACACAGUGGGCAGGAUGACGCAGCCGUGCCUCUUCCAUGUGGUGCCAGCAGGUCGGCCGGAGCAACCUCAAGGAUGUCUGGUGGUGAACAAAACCUAUAACUCUCUGGCGGUGGAAUGCACUCCUGGUUUCGACGGUGGACUGCGGCAGGAGUUCAUAGCCAAGGUGUUCGAGGCAGUGACGGGGCGAGGACAAGCCAACGUGACCUCGGAGUCUCCCAACUUCACACUGGAGGGCCUCACGCCGGGCCUGGACUACAUCAUCCAGGUGACGGCGAGGAACAAGCUAGGCUCCUCAGACCCUGUGCGGCUGGAGGCUCUGACCUACAAGAUGGCGGAGAACAGGAUGCGGGACGAGCAAGGUGGUGAAGGCAACGGAGGCGGAGGACCAGGAGGCGGCAUGCUGUUUGUGAGUCUGGCUGCAGUGGCGACGGUGGUGGUGGUGCUGGUGGUGGCGGGACUGGCUGGACGCUGCCUCUGGGCCCGACGACACGAGAGGGACCUUAUCACUGGCGGCAGCAGAAGCACCAGAGGCUACUCGGCGCCCCCUGAGAAGCACAGUGGGCGGCUCUCAGGAGAAGAAGCAACAGCUGUGGACGCCAGGGUGUUCGUCACAGUCAACCAGGACUCGAAGGAGAUCAUAACGACGAUUAUCCGAAGGAGUGAGAAACUUUAACGCCGCUACCAACAACCUAUGACGACGAGCUUCACUUUGAGGUUCCGACGAUCAGCUUGGAGGCGCACCGGGAGCCCAGAACGCGCAUAGCUGACCACGCGCUCUAAGCACCCGCCCGUCAGCUACUCAGCGCAGCAACCCAGCUCAGCUCAGCCCACACUAGCUCCGACAUCCUUACCGGCCGAGCCCCAGUUUCCAGCGUUAUAACCCUCCCUCCCUACUUCUCUCCCACUCCCCGAGACUCCCACCAUCCUAACACUUGUCAGUCCACAGCCAGCUCAUGUAUUUGCCUCUGACACGACGGAGACUAGCAGUGCAUCGGACAGUAAGAUCCAGCCGAGGCUUUCCGUCAUGAGGAUCGCGGCACUCUCAUUCAUCUCUGUCCCUCGGGUCUUCAGGCUCGUGGCAGGUGAUCUAUCCACCCUCCUUGGGGAUUACGUCAUUCACUCCCGUAAUUACCCCCAUUAGGUGUUACCCCAAGUGUAGGUGAAUGGGUUCGAGUCCCGGCGUGGUUGAGUCAGCAAUAAGCAACUUCCGACGCCAGCCACUUCACCAGCGUGCCACCGUGGAUUUUGAAUAGGGAUUAAAGAGUUGGAUCUCGGGGCUGUCUGCCUCAAUCCCGCCCGCUCCCAGCCACCCGCCCCUCGUCCCACUCCCCUCCUUUUUCUGCAUGGCCAAUCACCAGUCAGUUGCUCCGAAACUUUUUGUAAUGAUUGCCGUACCUACAAACCCAGCCCUUGUUGAUGACCAGUCAGUUUGUUAGGAGCGUAAUGAAAUAUAAACUGACUGAUGCAGAUGUAUUUUUUUCGUCCACUCGUCUGUGUGAUUCAUGCAUAUUUGGAGCACGGCAAGCAUUUUGUCCACUAAUUGGUGAAAAGGUUUGCAAAACUGUAGUCUGUUUAUUUCCCUACUUUUUUUUAUCAAAAUUUCUUUUUUCCCCUGCUUGGGGGAGUAUGGCUGGAGGUAUUAACGGGGAUACAAUAACAGGAAACGAACUCGAUGUUGCAUUCUAUUUGUUCAUUCGUUAACUUGUUUAUUUGUGCAUUUGCUUACAUUGACCCAUCGCUGAGGGGCUUACUGUAACCCCGCGUCUCCUGGUGCAGCCCGGCCAGAUUCGGACACUGGAGUGGGAGGAGAAGGAAUAUUUUCCGGCACGAAACAGAGGCGCUGAACGUGCCCUGCGAGUUCCGAUUUCAGUGCGUUUGUCCGAUCGAUGGAAUAUGCAGGGCGUCCACAGGCUUGAGGUCACAGAGUCUCCGUCGCGGGAGUGUGAUCGAGAAAAAUAUGUUAUGAGGAGCCGACAAGUAGCCUCCCUUCAUCACUCCUCCAUCGAUUCCUCCUCCUCUCCCUGCCUUCCCCUCACCCUCUCCACCGUCUCGCUCUGUAUCUUGGACCUUGUUAAUCUUUUUACUGCCCAGGCAACAGACGAGACUCGGUGUUGGAAACGUAAUAAGAAGUUGUACAUAAGAAGGUGCCCCAAUCCCCGCCUUCCCUGUCCCUCCACCCUAUACGUCACCUGUUUCCCUUACUCCCUCCCUCGCGUUCCCUUCCUUCCCUUUCUCAUUUUCGUACCUCCUCCCUUUCGGUCUUCAUUACAAUCGUUAGUGUCCGUCAUAAUGUAAAUAUCGGAUAUUCACUAGUAGCGUCUCAUGUGUAAUGUAUAUGUAGCUGUGAUAAUAGUUUUUAUAUGUAAUAUAAAUGGCGUAUAUUUUUACAGUCGACAUGGUACAGUGUUUUCGUGUCCAUGUAUGAAGUGUUAGACAAUAAAGGUUAUUGCAUUUA